UUGUGUCACACGGCUGGCUAGUCUAGCGCCCAGCCAAAACGAGGCGCGGCAACAGCUUCAGUAACACGUGGCUAAUCUGCCCUUUGGGACAAAAACAACCCCGGGAAACCGGGGCUAAUUCUUGACAGAUGAAGAAACUCCGGAAUUGAGUCUUCGUUUAAAAGACUUUCACGUUAUCGCUCGUGAUCGUUCGCCCAAGGAUCGAGGCCGCGACCGAUCAGGUUCGUUCGGUGAGGUAAUCGGCUCACCAAGCCUUUUCACCGGUGCGGGCCGUGAGAGCGGGAGCCCGGAGAUCGGGCACUGAGACAAGGGCCCAGGCCCUACGGGGCGCAGCAGUCGCGAAAACUUUGCAAUACACGAAAGUGUGACAGGGCUAUCCCGAGUGCCUUCCGCUGAGGAGGGCUUUUACCUAGUAUAGAUCGCUAGGGGAAUAAGGAGAGGGCAAGUCUGGUGUCAGCCGCCGCGGUAAUACCAGCUCUCCGAGUGGUGUGGAUGUUUAUUUGGGCCUAAAGCAUCCGUAGCUGGCUAAGUUAGUCCCUUGUUAAAACCACCGAAUUAAUCGGUGGAUUGCGGGGGAUACUGCUUGGCUAGGGGACGAGAGAGGCAGACGGUAUUUUCGGGGUAGGGGUGAAAUCCUAUAAUCCCGGGAAGACCACCAGUGGCGAAGGCUGUCUGCUAGAACGCGCCCGACGGUGAUGGAUGAAAGCUGGGGGAGCGAACCGGAUUAGAUACCCGGGUAGUCCCAGCCGUAAACGAUGCAGGCUAGGUGUUUGGACGGCCACGUGCCGUUCUAGUGCCGCACGGAAACUGUUAAGCCUGCCGCCUGGGGAGUACUAUUCCCAAGAUUGAAACUCAAAGGAAUUGACGGAAUC
rnacentral:rRNA from 1 species